AUUUAUAUAGUUUAAUAAAAACAUUACAUUUUCAUUGUAAAAUUAAAAAAAAAUUUAUAAAUU
rnacentral:tRNA from 1 species